rnacentral:rRNA from 1 species
UACGGAGGGGGCUAGCGUUAUUCGGAAUUACUGGGCGUAAAGCGCACGUAGGCGGAUCUGCAAGUCAGAGGUGAAAUCCCAGGGCUCAACCUUGGAACUGCCUUUGAAACUGCGGGUCUUGAGUUCGAGAGAGGUGAGUGGAAUUCCGAGUGUAGAGGUGAAAUUCGUAGAUAUUCGGAGGAACACCAGUGGCGAAGGCAGCCCCCUGGGUCGACACUGACGCUCAUGCACGAAAGCGUGGGGAGCAAACAGG